rnacentral:ncRNA from 2 species
CCUCGGCAGUGCGACUGGCGCAGCCGGAAUCGACCGGCAAGGAGCACGUUCGAAGACAUCGUCCGCCUGGGUGUCGAUC